CCUACGGGAGGCAGCAGUAGGGAAUCUUCCGCAAUGGACGAAAGUCUGACGGAGCAACGCCGCGUGAGCGAAGAAGGUCUUCGGAUCGUAAAGCUCUGUUGUUAGGGAAGAACAAGUACCGUUCAAAUAGGGCGGUACCUUGACAGUACCUAACCAGAAAGCCACGGCUAACUACGUGCCAGCAGCCGCGGUAAUACGUAGGUGGCAAGCGUUAUCCGGAAUUAUUGGGCGUAAAGCGCGCGCAGGCGGUCCUUUAAGUCUGAUGUGAAAGCCCACGGCUCAACCGUGGAGGGUCAUUGGAAACUGGGGGACUUGAGUGCAGAAGAGGAGAGCGGAAUUCCACGUGUAGCGGUGAAAUGCGUAGAGAUGUGGAGGAACACCAGUGGCGAAGGCGGCUCUCUGGUCUGUAACUGACGCUGAGGCGCGAAAGCGUGGGGAGCGAACAGGAUUAGAUACCCUGGUAGUCCACGCCGUAAACGAUGAGUGCUAAGUGUUAGAGGGCUUCCGCCCUUUAGUGCUGCAGCAAACGCAUUAAGCACUCCGCCUGGGGAGUACGGUCGCAAGACUGAAACUCAAAUGAAUUGACGGGG
rnacentral:rRNA from 1 species